UACGUAGGCAGCAAGCGUUGUUCGGAGUUACUGGGCGUAAAGCGUGCGCAGGCGGUGAUGUAAGGCAGAUGUGAAAUCCCCGGGCUCAACCUGGGAACUGCAUUUGUGACUGCAUCGCUGGAGUGCGGCAGAGGGGGAUGGAAUUCCGCGUGUAGCAGUGAAAUGCGUAGAUAUGCGGAGGAACACCGAUGGCGAAGGCAAUCCCCUGGGCCUGCACUGACGCUCAUGCACGAAAGCGUGGGGAGCAAACAGG
rnacentral:rRNA from 1 species